rnacentral:rRNA from 1 species
CAGUAGCCGCGGUAAUACGUAGGUGGCAAGCGUUGUCCGGGAUUAUUGGGCGUAAAGGGCUCGCAGGCGGUUUCUUAAGUCUGAUGUGAAAGCCCCCGGCUCAACCGGGGAGGGUCAUUGGAAACUGGGAAACUUGAGUGCAGAAGAGGAGAGUGGAUUUCCACGUGUAGCGGUGAAAUGCGUAGAGAUGUGGAGGAACACCAGUGGCGAAGGCGACUCUCUGGUCUGUAACUGACGCUGAGGAGCGAAAGCGUGGGGAGCGAACAGGAUUAGAUACCCGUGUAGUCCCUGUCUCUUAUAC